UGGGGAAUAUUGGACAAUGGGGGGAACCCUGAUCCAGCCAUGCCGCGUGUGUGAAGAAGGCCUUAUGGUUGUAAAGCACUUUAAGCGAGGAGGAGGGUACUGGUAUUAAUACUACCAGGUACUGGACGUUACUCGCAGAAUAAGCACCGGCUAACUCUGUGCCAGCAGCCGCGGUAAUACAGAGGGUGCGAGCGUUAAUCGGAUUUACUGGGCGUAAAGCGUGCGUAGGCGGCUAAUUGAGUCGGAUGUGAAAUCCCCGAGCUUAACUUGGGAAUUGCAUUAGAUACUGGUUAGCUAGAGUGUGGGAGAGGAUGGUAGAAUUCCAGGUGUAGCGGAGAAAUGCGUAGAGAUCUGGAGGAAUACCGAUGGCGAAGGCAGCCAUCUGGCCUAACACUGACGCUGAGGUACGAAAGCAUGGGGAGCAAACAGG
rnacentral:rRNA from 1 species